GAUCUGCCUGCCGCGGCCUCCCAAAGUGCUGGGAUUACAGGAGUGAGCCACCGCACCCAGCCAUCCUUUGGAUCUUUCUAAGCAUUCACUCAUCAGGUUUCAUAUUCUCUUUUGAUUUAUAUCCCAUAUGCCAACGUUAGCAAAAGUUACUAUUAUAAGAUAAUUUGUCAUUUGAAUAAGGCACAGAUAGCUAUUUAGUUUUAAGGCUGGACAGACAGAUUCAAGGAAAUCGGAUUGAAUGUGAAAUCAGGAUGAAAGUGAAAUGAGAAGGUGCGUUUAAAAGGAACUUGAUAAAAGUACAACCUCUUCUUAUUGGGUUUGAUAUUUCAUGGGGAUUUAUAAGUGGGAUAAGGGUGAUUCUGACCAUAUUCUCCAUAUUCUUAAUGUGGACUCUUAGUCAAAUGUUGAGUGCUCAAAUGCCAUCCCUUGAAAUCUAUGUGCCUGAUUGCAGGCAGCCUUUCCUUCCUCCCACUUUCCACGUUAAUCCACUCAGCUCCUAAGGCUUGAUGGGCCUGACCCUGCUUUGAGUGUGCACAAGUGACCAAGCCUGACCAAUCAGAGUCCUUCAACUCUUCCAAAUACGCAGAGUGGUUCAGGGAUUGGCACAUGAUGCAGCCAAUCAGAGUCUUUCCUGGAACUUUUGUUGGCGUUAUUAGGAAACAGGCUCACCUUUUUAUCUGCGAUUAUGAGCCACGGAAGCAACUGAUGAUAAAAUCAAGAUGAACAGCAGAGCUAAGGGUAGAAAACCAUGUUCUGAUGUUGUCUGAAUCCCUGAAUCUGCCUAAAGUCAUUGAUCUCCUUAGAAUUUCCAUUUUCAAGAUCCAAUACCCUCUCCCUUUUUGCUGGAGCAGGUUUGAGUUGGCCUUUUGUCAGUUGCACGGAGAAAAUGAAUGUAUCACCUAUCCCAUAACACCCAUGAUCACUUAGGUAGUUCAUCUCCAAACAGAAUAACUUCCGAUUUGGUCUGUUCUUGGGCCAUUUGUAAUCUGAAGCCUGAAAGGCCCAAAAUGCACAACUAGAAUACAGAACAUCUGCAUAAUGCCAGCAUUCGGAGGCUCUGCCAGAACACCCUUGAGCUUGGGCCAUUCACCUAUUCCCCAUUGCUCAGGCUUCCCAGAUUUUGUAUUUUCUAGUAGUUGUUUGGGUUCCCUGGCAGUAUCUAAACAGUUGGAGUCUUCAAAGUAUUCAGUUGAUUGUUUUUUGUUUUUGUUAUAUAAUUAGGAAAAAACAAAAUGAGAAUGAUGUGAAUUUGGAGGAGCUAGCCACUGACAGGAAGGAGGAAGGCGCUCCAUACAGCAAAUGAAAUUCAGAACUCUGGCCAGCCCAUCGAGAAGAGGGUAACAGGCCUGCUGGGACAAGUUGAGAGAAGACGAAUGAAGUGAGGACGCUGCACACCAUAAUCUGAAAUAGUCCUAGCGGUGGAAAAGAAGCAGCCUGCAGACGAGGCGGGCAGUGGGAAGGUGCGCCUGCAGGAGGGAGCACCUUAUGGGGCUGGGCAACUCACUGAGAAAUGAUUCUGUCAUAGACAUGUGUGUAUUUCUUCUGAUAGUUAUGCUCUGGAUCAUCAGAAAAAUACAAAGGCAUAGCCACAAUUCAUACUAGUGGAGAGACCUCAACAGAGAUGGACCCACCCAAGCCUAGCUUGGAACUUGGACUCGGAUGGAACUUGGACUGCACAGACUGUGUGGCCCCACCCACUGGGGUUGAGGCUUCAAUAUAUGAAUUUCAGGGGGACACAUUUCAACCCAUAACUGCUUAAGAUGAGGCUCACAGGCUGGACUGAGGACUCCUCUCAGGGUGCAGCACAUAGGAAACCAUUUUAU
rnacentral:lncRNA from 1 species